CCUACGGGAGGCAGCAGUGGGGAAUAUUGGACAAUGGGCGCAAGCCUGAUCCAGCCAUACCGCGUGGGUGAAGAAGGCCUUCGGGUUGUAAAGCCCUUUUGUUGGGAAAGAAAUCCAGCCGGCUAAUACCUGGUUGGGAUGACGGUACCCAAAGAAUAAGCACCGGCUAACUUCGUGCCAGCAGCCGCGGUAAUACGAAGGGUGCAAGCGUUACUCGGAAUUACUGGGCGUAAAGCGUGCGUAGGUGGUUAUUUAAGUCCGUUGUGAAAGCCCUGGGCUCAACCUGGGAACUGCAGUGGAUACUGGAUGACUAGAAUGUGGUAGAGGGUAGCGGAAUUCCUGGUGUAGCAGUGAAAUGCGUAGAGAUCAGGAGGAACAUCCAUGGCGAAGGCAGCUACCUGGACCAACAUUGACACUGAGGCACGAAAGCGUGGGGAGCAAACAGGAUUAGAUACCCUGGUAGUCCACGCCCUAAACGAUGCGAACUGAUGUUGGGUNNAUUAGUCGCGCAGUAUCGAGACGUACGACGUACGUUACGUCCGCCGUGGAGGUACGGUCGCGAGACGAGAACGACGAACGAAAGUUAGACGGCGUGAGACGUGCCGACGGACGACGACGAGGGAGGAGG
rnacentral:rRNA from 1 species